UACGUAGGGUGCAAGCGUUAAUCGGAAUUACUGGGCGUAAAGCGUACGCAGGCGGCUAUGCAAGACAGGUGUGAAAUCCCCGGGCUUAACCUGGGAACUGCAUUUGUGACUGCAUGGCUAGAGUUUGUCAGAGGGGGGUGGAAUUCCACGUGUAGCAGUGAAAUGCGUAGAGAUGUGGAGGAACACCGAUGGCGAAGGCAGCGCCCUGGGAUGUGACUGACGCUCAUGUACGAAAGCGUGGGGAGCAAACAGG
rnacentral:rRNA from 1 species